UACGUAGGCAGCAAGCGUUGUUCGAGUACUGGGCGUAAAGAGUAUGUAGGCGGUUGGGUAAGUUUGGUGUGAAAUCUCCCGGCUUAACUGGGAGGGUGCGCUAAAGACUGCCUGGCUCGAGUGUGGGAGAGGAAAGCGGAAUUCCUGGUGUAGCGGUGAAAUGCGUAGAUAUCAGGAGGAACACCUGCGGUGUAGACGGCUUUCUGGACCAUAACUGACGCUGAGAUACGAAAGCGUGGGUAGCAAACAGG
rnacentral:rRNA from 1 species